GCGCGGGUCGGGGGCCGGGGGCGGCGCUGGCUCAUUCCGCAGCUCGGGCAGCCCCUGCGAGGAGCCGGCGGGCAGGCGGGGAGCGCGAGUCCCGUGUUUGUAGCGUUGCUAAGCCGAGAGCUUUAAAUAUUUCAGCGAGCCAUCCGGAGACCUCUGUUUGUUAAUUGCUAGAGUAGACUUUAAGGAAAGAUUGGGG